CGCUGAGCAGCCUUUAGGGGCUGGCAUGUUCAGCUGGGCACGUGUCCACAACGAGGCAUCACGCGCAGUCUGAGCUGAGCUCUAGUCUCUGGGUUUCAGGACUUUCAGCACAGUCCUGGCCCUUCACGUUUAGUCUGGGUGAUCAGGGACGUAAACCAGCCAUGGCAAGGUGGUGAAGCACCACCAUGGAAGGGCACCAGCCGGGCCCUGGGGUCACAGAAGUGUCCCAGGAAGUGCAGCUGUUAAGCCUGGUGAGAGGAGAGCGAGCCAGGGGGACGGCGAGAGACAGGCAUGACGGGGCGGAGCUCCAGGAGCAGUGGCCGUGGUCAGAUGACAACAAAGGUGGUCAGGAUCCCGAGGACAAAGAGAUGCAGCCGUGGCUGCUGGGCGUAGCUGGUAGUCUGACGACAAAACACUACAAGACAUCCCUCAGCAGGUGCCCCCAGACGCACAGCUGAAUGACAGAGAGAAGUGACCCCGUGCAGGCUUCAUCUGACUCCCUCCACACGACGGAGUCCACGGCCCUGGGUAAGCC
rnacentral:lncRNA from 1 species